UACAGAAGGUGCAGGCGUUAAUCGGAUUUAUUGGGCGUAAAGGGUGCGUAGGUGGUAAGGCAGGUAAGAUGUGAAAGCCCCGGGCUUAACCUGGGAAGUGCAUCUUAAACUGCUUAACUAGAGUAUGGUAGAGGGUAGUGGAAUUUCCGGUGUAGCGGUGAAAUGCGUAGAUAUCGGAAGGAACGCCAGUGGUGAAGACGACUACCUGGACCAAUACUGACACUGAGGCACGAAAGCGUGGGGAUCAAACAGG
rnacentral:rRNA from 1 species